UACAGGGGGGGCAAGCGUUGUUCGGAAUUACUGGGCGUAAAGGGCUCGUAGGCGGCCAACUAAGUCAGACGUGAAAUCCCUCAGCUUAACUGGGGAACUGCGUCUGAUACUGGAUGGCUUGGAUCCGGGAGAGGGAUGCGGAAUUCCCGGUGUAGCGGUGAAAUGCGCAGAUAUCGGGAGGAACACCAAUGGCGAAGGCAGCUCGCUGGGACGUGACUGACGCUGAGACGCGAAAGCGUGGGGAGCAAACAGG
rnacentral:rRNA from 1 species